GCGGGUGUGGCGGAACUGGUAGACGCACCAGAUUUAGGUUCUGGCGCCGCAAGGCGUGGGGGCUCAAGUCCCUCCACCCGCACCA
rnacentral:tRNA from 1 species